CCAAGAACUAAAACCCUGAGUCUUAAAGUCUCCUGCAAAGUUUAGGCUCAAAACAAUCUUGUUUGUCCAACCAAACAAUAAUACUCGUCACCAUUUACUCUAAACAUAUGUGCUUCCCAAACAGAUGAAUAAAUCCAUUACUAACCAUUAGAAUCUGAAUCUCACAUUGGAUAUGGAGCAUAUAGUACCGUGAAGAACUCCACC
rnacentral:lncRNA from 1 species